rnacentral:rRNA from 1 species
GGGUGGUAAUGCCGGAUGCUCCAGUUGAUCGCAUGGUCUUCUGGGAAAGCUUUCGCGGUAUGGGAUGGGGUCGCGUCCUAUCAGCUUGACGGCGGGGUAACGGCCCACCGUGGCUUCGACGGGUAGCCGGCCUGAGAGGGCGACCGGCCACAUUGGGACUGAGAUACGGCCCAGACUCCUACGGGAGGCAGCAGUGGGGAAUAUUGCACAAUGGGCGCAAGCCUGAUGCAGCGACGCCGCGUGAGGGAUGGAGGCCUUCGGGUUGUAAACCUCUUUUAUCGGGGAGCAAGCGUGAGUGAGUUUACCCGUUGAAUAAGCACCGGCUAACUACGUGCCAGCAGCCGCGGUAAUACGUAGGGUGCAAGCGUUAUCCGGAAUUAUUGGGCGUAAAGGGCUCGUAGGCGGUUCGUCGCGUCCGGUGUGAAAGUCCAUCGCUUAACGGUGGAUCCGCGCCGGGUACGGGCGGGCUUGAGUGCGGUAGGGGAGACUGGAAUUCCCGGUGUAACGGUGGAAUGU